rnacentral:rRNA from 1 species
GAUGAACGCUGGCGGCGUGCCUAAUACAUGCAAGUCGAGCGAACGGACGAGAAGCUUGCUUCUCUGAUGUUAGCGGCGGACGGGUGAGUAACACGUGGAUAACCUACCUAUAAGACUGGGAUAACUUCGGGAAACCGGAGCUAAUACCGGAUAAUAUUUUGAACCGCAUGGUUCAAAAGUGAAAGACGGUCUUGCUGUCACUUAUAGAUGGAUCCGCGCUGCAUUAGCUAGUUGGUAAGGUAACGGCUUACCAAGGCAACGAUGCAUAGCCGACCUGAGAGGGUGAUCGGCCACACUGGAACUGAGACACGGUCCAGACUCCUACGGGAGGCAGCAGUAGGGAAUCUUCCGCAAUGGGCGAAAGCCUGACGGGGCAACGCCGCGUGAGUGAUAAAGGUCUUCGGAUCGUAAAACUCUGUUAUUAGGGAAGAACAUAUGUGUAAGUAACUGUGCACAUCUUGACGGUACCUAAUCAGAAAGCCACGGCUAACUACGUG